rnacentral:rRNA from 1 species
CCGCCAGAGAACUACAAGUGAAAAACUUAAAACUCAAAGGACUUGGCGGUGUCCCAUACCGACCUAGAGGAGCCUGUCCUAUAAUCGAUACCCCCCGUUCUACCUAACCUCUACUAGCCCUUUCAACCUAUAUACCGCCGUCGACAGUCUACCCCAUGAGGGAUUAACAGUAGACAAAAUAGCCCUCCCGCUAAUACGUCAGGUCAAGGUGUAGUUCAUGUUGAGGGAGAGAUUGGCUACAUUUUUUAGUUAUAAAAACACGGAAUAUAAAAUGAAACCCUAUAUGAAGGCGAAUUUAGUAGUAAAAU